ACGAACGCUGGCGGCGUGCUUAACACAUGCAAGUCGAACGGAAAGGCCCUGCUUUUGUGGGGUGCUCGAGUGGCGAACGGGUGAGUAACACGUGAGUAACCUGCCCUUGACUUUGGGAUAACUUCAGGAAACUGGGGCUAAUACCGGAUAGGAGCUCCUGCUGCAUGGUGGGGGUUGGAAAGUUUCGGCGGUUGGGGAUGGACUCGCGGCUUAUCAGCGUGUUGGUGGGGUAGUGGCUUACCAAGGCUUUGACGGGUAGCCGGCCUGAGAGGGUGACCGGCCACAUUGGGACUGAGAUACGGCCCAGACUCCUACGGGAGGCAGCAGUGGGGAAUAUUGCACAAUGGGCGGAAGCCUGAUGCAGCAACGCCGCGUGCGGGAUGACGGCCUUCGGGUUGUAAACCGCUUUCGCCUGUGACGAAGCGUGAGUGACGGUAAUGGGUAAAGAAGCACCGGCUAACUACGUG
rnacentral:rRNA from 1 species